rnacentral:rRNA from 1 species
AGAGUUUGAUUCUGGCUCAGGAUGAACGCUGGCGGCGUGCCUAACACAUGCAAGUCGAACGAAGCAUAGAAGACGGAGAUUCGUCAAAGCCUUUAUGACUUAGUGGCGACGGGUGAGUAAUGUAUGAGCAACCUGCCUUUCAGAGGGGGACAACAGUUGGAAACGACUGCUAAUACCGCGUAACGUAGUGAGGGGGCAUCCCUUUAUUACCAAAGGAGCAAUCCGCUGAAAGAUGGGCUCAUAUCUGAUUAGCUUGUUGCGGGGUAAGGCCCACCAAGGCGACGACCAGUAGCCGGACUGAGAGGUUGAACGGCCACAUUGGGACUGAGAUACGGCCCAGACUCCUACGGGAGGCAGCAGUGGGGAAUAUUGGGCAAUGGGCGAAAGCCUCGACCCAGCAACGCCGCGUGAAGGAAGAAGGUCUUCGGAUUGUAAACUUCUUUUAUGAGGGACGAAGGACGUGACGGUACCUCAUGAAUAAGCCACGGCUAACUACGUGCCAGCAGCUGC